UACGAAGGGGGCUAGCGUUGCUCGGAAUCACUGGGCGUAAAGGGUGCGUAGGCGGGUCUUUAAGUCAGGGGUGAAAUCCUGGAGCUCAACUCCAGAACUGCCUUUGAUACUGAGGAUCUUGAGUUCGGGAGAGGUGAGUGGAACUGCGAGUGUAGAGGUGAAAUUCGUAGAUAUUCGCAAGAACACCAGUGGCGAAGGCGGCUCACUGGACCACAACUGACGCUGAGGCGCGAAAGCUAGGGGAGCAAACAGG
rnacentral:rRNA from 1 species